GGAGAUGUAGCUCAGUGGUAGAGCAUUUGCCUAGCAUGCAAAAGGCCCUGUGUUCAAUCUCUA
rnacentral:tRNA from 1 species